AAAUCGCUGCUCUGCCGCGCGCCUACGCAAGGAAAGAUUCAAGGGUCCCUCCACUUCAGGGAGUGGAGCCCGCGCCUCGGCACGGAUCAGCUGUGCGUCUCCUUUGGCCUACUGGCUCCUCUGCUUGUGUCUAUAGCUAGCUGGACGCAUCGUGACUUUAUCUUCUCAUCUUUCCUGGCGCCCCCAGACGCAUUUCCUGGUCCCUCGAGGCAGCGGCGUCUGGGGAGUGCACUUUGCACAGACAGGGAAACCGAGGCACUCAGCGGUCUCCAAUGGAGACGCUGUAAUCGCAUUCCACGACCAGCUAGCGCUAUAAGCGCUGCCUCUAAAGCGGAAGGCCUCCCAGUCCUUCUCGACAGGAAGCAAUAUUUGCAUAUCUAAGGAGAACAAGAUUCGGCAAUGUGCUCCGGGAGCAAGUGCAGGCAUGGAACGGUAUGGGCUGGAGGGGGACAGACCUUCAGAGGCGGCUGCCCGUUCCCUGUAGUGUCACAUAAGAUUUUUAGAAGAUAGGAGUUUUCACAGUGGCGGCAGAGCCCUCUGCUAAAUCCUCAUAUUAGAUGUCAAAGGUGGCAUGUCAUUUGACCCAAUGGCUUUUUUAGUCAUUUAUCUUCCUAACACCUAUGAGAGUAGAGACAGGGUUUCACCAUGUUGGCCAGCCUGGUCUCAAACUCCUGAUCGCAAGUGAUCCGCCUACCUUGGCCUCCUAAAGUGCUGGGAUUACAGGCGUGAGCCACGUCUUUGUUCCAGCAAAACCAACCUAGUCCCUGAUUCACAAAUCAUCCUGGGAGUGUACAGCACUUACAGCCAGAAAGAAGUCUCUGGAGCAAAAAGCAUUGCAUAUUCAAUGGUCUAUGACAUCACCAUCGAAGACUCUGUCAAAAGGGGUUUUGUUUGAUUAAUUUUCAUUAUCUGUUGUUACCCAACUAAUGAAAGGUGAUACUAUUAAUGAGUGUGUGAACGAGACAGUGUCUUCGUUACCACCUCUGAAACACUCCCAGCUUUUUCAGGGACGAAUAGCCCUGACCCAAAGUGUGUCCUUUCUUCAUUGUAGGGAGAUACAAACUGUUUCUCUCCAAGUACUCCAACACCAAUUAUUGUGUGUCACAACCGAGAACACAAUAUGAGGCUUGUGCUUGAAUUACUGCUGUUUUAUGUGCCAAAAAAAAUGCUAGCUUUCUUUUUUCAGUGAAGUUGAUAGAGUUGGAAGACAUUUUAAUACCACAUUUAUUGGUUUGAAAGCAUGAUUGUUUUAGUAGCUGGUGCAAAUUUCAAGGAACACAUAACUCCCUUUAAGAAAUAUUGUUUCUAAGAAAUUACAUUUGACUAAAUUUGGAAGCUUUAAUGCAAAUAACUUUCAAACAAUGAAACCAUAUUCACAAGGAGAUGCUUUUAUUUUCUCCACUGAGGAAGAAAUGGAGACAUGUUUCCUAUUGUCGUUAUGUCCAUCUGGACAGAAAAGGAAGUCUGUGGGCUAGACAAGCAAAAAUAGGUUACAUCUGGGUAGCCCAGCAGUCUCUCCCUGACUGCUGAAGAAGCUCCUCUUUGUUUCAUUCCUGAAGCACGGCGUUGUUUUCUUGGACCCGUGCAUCAAGUUAAACCUGAGUUAGACUAUGGAUCCCUUGCACUUGAUUUUAUGAUUGUAAGACUUACACAAAUGCAAGCCUAGAACACAAUUGAACUCUUAUUUGCUUACAUCUCCAUGAACAGGAAAGAAGCCACUUGAUCUUCUAAAAGUUUUGCCCGGUUGCUUUCUCUUUUAUACCUAUUGUUAAGCUAUAAAAUGAAAUCACCAAAUUAUCAAUCUGCGAGUAUUUGCUACUUCGCAAUAUAUAUUUAAGAAUUUUACAAAACAAAACUGUGCCAUAAAAAGUAUUUCAUCCAUAUGAUCUUACAGUUCCACUUCUAAGAAUGCAUAUACCCAAAAGAAUUGAAAGCAAGAUCUCAAAGAUAUUUGUAUACCUGUGUUCGUAGCAGAUUAUCCACAAUAGCUAAAGGUGGAAGCAAGCCAAGCGUCUAUCAAUGUAUGAAUGGAUAAGUACAAUGUGGUAUACACAAACAAUGAAUUGUCAUUCAGCCUUAAAAAGGAAGGAUAUUCUGGGCUGGGCGCGGUGGCUCAAGUCUGUAAUCUCAGUACUAUGGGAGGCCGAUAGAGGUGGAUCACCUGAAGUCAGGAGUUCAAGACCAGUCUGACCAACAUGGUGAAACCCUGUCUCUACUAAAAAUCCCAAAAAAAAAAAAAAAAAAUAGCCAGGUGUGGUGGCAGGCACCUGUAAUCUCAGCUACUCAGGUGGCUGAGGCCAGGGAAUCGCUUGAACCUGGAAGGUGGAGGUUGCAGCAAGCCGAGAUUGCACCACUGCACUUCAGCCUGGGUGACAGAGUGAGACUUUGUCUCAAAAAAGAAGGAGAUUCUGACACAUGCUAUAACAUGGAUGAACCUUGAGGACAUUAUGGUAAGUGAAAUAACCCAUUCAGAAAAUAGACAAAAUCUGUAUGACUCUACUUAUAUAAGAUAUCUAGAUCAAAUUCAAGAGACAGAAAGUAGGAUGAUGGUAAUCAGGGGCUGGAGGGAAGGAGGAAUGUUACUGUUUAAUGGCAUAAAGUUUCAGUUUUGUGAAGUGAAAAGAGUUCUAGAGAUGGACUGUGGUAUUGGUUGCACAGCAAUGUAAACAUACUUAAUGCCAUUGAAAGUGUCACUUAAAAAUAGUUAAGAUGGUAAGUUUUAUGUUAUGUGUAUUUUACCAUAAUUUAAAAUAAUAAUUUUUGAAAGUAUUUCAGAUUUUAUGCCAAAGUUCUUAUUAAGGGAACUUUCAAUUUUUUCAAAAAAGUUUAAAAUACUUUCCACCUAAUUUUCAAAGUAAAUACAACUUUCAAAUUAAAUACAGGGAAUUUAAUUAAUUCCCUGGGACUUUCAGGAAACCAAACUUCUGAGCACUGUUUAUUUGAAGAAAGCCUUCCUUUUUCCCUCUCCUUUCGCAUAAUUUCUCCCUAGUGCUGUAUGUUGGUCAGCUUUGUUAGCUAUUUAUUUGUGCUGGUCUGUGGCUUUAUUGCUCUGGUCUUUAUCAGAAACUUAGGUAAAUAUUUGCAACCUUGACAAAUGAUGCUUGGAUACUGAUAAGUCUUUACAUUAAGAAGGAUAUUCUUAAUAAAAUUAAUGUUCUACUUAGUUCACAAAGCUGUACACAGGAUAAAUAGCACAAGGCCUGCCGAAGUGCCUGGAGACAGUAGACAUGAACACAUGUUGUCCUAGUAGAUAUUUGCUUAUCAAGCACCAGCAAACAAUAGAGCUGGAGGGACCCAAAGAGAGCCUAAUCUCUGUCCUCUAGAGCACUAGGUUUCUAAGCAGGUCAUUUAAAAGUGACAGAAAACAUGGCUGUAAACCCCUAUUUCUAUAACAGCUAGUAAAGCACUUGCACAUAUUUAUAUAUUGGAACUCUGUUCACCCCAAAAAAGGUUUAAAUCCCUUUGACCAUGAAAAUUGGUUGCUUAUGACUUCAAACUAUACUACAGGGCUACAGUUACCAAAAUGGCAUGGUACUGGUACAUAAACAGACACACAGACCAAUGGAACAGAAUAGAGAACCCAGAAAUAAGACUGCACACCUACAACUGUCUGAUCUGUGACAAACCUGAUGAAAACAAGCAAUGGGAAAAGGUUCCCUAUUCAACAAAUGGUGCUGGGAUAACUGGAUACUCAUAUACAAAAGACUGAAACUGGACUUUUUCCUUAACCAUAUACAAAAAUUAACUCAAAGUGGAUUAAGGACUUAAAUGUAAAACCCAAAACUGUAAAAGCCUGGAAGACAACCUAGGCAAUACCAUUCAGGACAUAGACACAGACAAAGAUUUCGUGACAAAAAUGCCAAAAGCAAUUGCAACAAAAGCAAAAAUUGACAAAUGGAACCUAAUUAAACUACAGAGCUUCUGCACAGCAAAAGAAAUUAUCAACAGAGUAAACAGAUAACCUACAGAAUGGGAGAAAUUUUUUGCAAACAGUGCAUCGACAAAGAUCUAAUAUCUAGCAUCUAUAAAGAACUUAAACAAAGUUGCAAGAAAAAAAAAUCACCCCAUUAAAAACUGGGCAAAGGACAGGACAUGAACAGACACUUUUCAAAAGAAGACAUACAUUUGGCCAACAAUUAUAUGAAAAAAGCUCAACGUCACUGAUCAUUAGAGAAACUCAAAUCAAACCACAAUGAGAUACUGUCUCAUACCAGUCAGAAUGGCUAAUAUGAAAACGUCCAAAAAUGACAGAUGCUGGUGAGGUUGUGGAGAAAGGGAACACUUUACACGGUUGGUGAGAGUGUAAAUUAGUUCAGCCAUUGUGGAAGACAGUGUGGUGAUUCUUCAAAGACCUAAAGACAGAAAUACCAUUCCAUUCAGCAAUCCCAUUACUGGGUAAUAUACCCAAAGGAAUAUAAAUCAUUCUGUCAUAAAGAUGCAUGUGUGUAUGUUUACUGCAGCACUAUUCACAAUAGCAAAGACAUGGAAUUAACCUAACAUCAAUGGUAGACUGGAUGAAGAAAAUGUGGUACAUAUACAUUGUGGAGUACUAUGCAGCCAUAAAAAAGAACAAGAUCAUUUACUUUGCAGGGGCUUCAAUGGAGCUGGAGGCCAUAUCCUUAGCAGCUAAUGCAGCAACAGAAAACCAAAUAUUGCAUGUUCUCACUUAUAAGUGAGAGUCAAAUGAUGAGAACACAUAUAGGGAAACAACACACACUGAGGCCUAUUUGAGGGUAGAGGGUGGAAGGAGGGAGAGGAUCAGGAAAAAUAACUAAUGGGUACUGGGCUUAAAUACCUGGGUGAUGAAAUAAUCUGUACAACAAACCCCCAUGACACGAGUUUACCUAUGUAACAAACCUGCACAUGUACCCUUGAACUUAAAAUAAAAAUUUAAAAAAAGAAAAUAGGUUGCUUGACUCUGCACCUUUCCUUCUCUGCUUCUCACUUCCCAACUGUUCUAAUUUCAUAUGGGAAUCCAUGCAGUUAUGGAGAAUCCACCUUCAGCAAUGGGAAUGAACCUAGCACCACAUGACCUGGGCUGGAUCAAUCAUCACAUACUAUCCCCUGACCCAGUGAUUGGUUCAGGGAUGGACAUGUGACCUAAGAGAGUGUGGUUAGAGUAAACCUCAGGACUUCUGCUGAUAACAUUGGCAAAAAGAUUUUUUUUUUAAAUGAAUGAGGGCAUGUAGCCUCACAGAACAGCUGGAAGCCAUUUUGCAACCACAGAGAUCUGCCAAAGUCUCCCUAAGAUGAAGAAACACUGAGAUAGCAGAGCCAGGAAAUGGUGAAGGGAAUGUUGGUCCCUGGUCAAGUUGUUUGAGCUAGCCCUGAAGUUUUUCAAAUCUCUGUGGGCUUUUCAAUUGCAUGAGCUAGUAAUUUCCCUUUAUUACUUAAGCCAAUGUGAACCAGCUUUUCUGUUACUUAGAACCAAAAACAUUCUGCUACAUCAUUGAUACACGUCAAACACCCCCUUCCUUUUACAGAAGAAAAGACUAAAUCUCAUGGAUGCUACGUGGCUAGUUAGGAGGAAUUGCCUUCCCAGUUCCAGGCCUUUCUCCUUUUACUACUCUAGCCACUUGUGAUGGGUUUGGUAACAAUGAGUAAAAUGUGCAUUCUCCUUAUUUCUAACCACGGAUUGGAUAUGUUCAGAAAUAUUAAAACUGAUUUUCCUCAAGUGUAUCUUCUGGCAAUUAAUGUCAUUGCUUUAUAGCCACUCUGUACUACGGGCCCUUGUGAUUCAUUAGAAAAAACAAAGGAUCAAAUAGUUAGAGAAGGUAUAAGGACCUUGUUUAAAAUUUUAUUUAAUUUGCAGCUAAUUUACCAGCAACUUAGGCUCAACCACGUAUGCUGCUUUGCUAGUUUCUUCAAAACUUGUCAUGCACUUUCAUUUCUUGGUAAUCAUCCCUCAUUACCAUUUCUUAUCUUUCAAAAACACAGCCUCACCACACUGUAUUCUUACCUUUGGUGCCUCCCUCUACAGCUAGAAUUUCCAGAUUCUGUGGGCUCUUCCUCUGUAAACUCUAAAAAUCCUUCCAUUUUUAUCUAUACAUACUAUUUCCCCCACUCUAACAGAUCUUACCUAUCACCAACCCUAAAAUUACCUAACAAAAUGCUCAUCACAUCUUCAAGGAAAUGUCCCACAGUGAGAGAAAAGAGAAAGGAACCUGUGUUUAUUGUGCUAGGAAGAUACUAGAUACUUUACAGACAUUAACUCAUUUAAUUUUCAUGACCACACCAUGGUAAGUAGGUAGUAGUAUCUCAGUCUAAAAAUAAGGAAACUGAGGUUGGGUGAGUCAUAGGGUUGAAUUCCAAACCUAGGUGUGUGCAGUUCUAAAGAUACUUUCUUCCACUGCUUCUGUUGGACAAUAGAUUUUGCCCCUUUUGUACCAGCUCCAAAGGAUAGUGACCGCCUGGAUCUCGUGUUGAGAAGACUGAAGCCUCAUCCAGGUUGACAGGGAAAGACAAAAGGAUGUCUUGCCAAAGCUUGCCAAGGGGGAAAGUGGCAAUCCACACACCACUUAUUUCACAUUUCUUCAGGCCUGUGCCUGGGGCAGUUCUAGAGGUUUCCCAGGAGAAGGACAGGUGCACCAGGGAGUCUGGCUAUAAAGUUUGUACACUAGAAUCUGUUGGCAGAUUCUGUUGCUUAAAGUUGAGUUUGCAUUCAUACUUUAUAUCUGAAGAAAUGGGAAGUUAGGGAGUUAACCACUGUCUAUUGGGAAGUGAUUCAUGAAUCAGAACAGGUGAGAAUGUCAGGCUCUGAAAUGAACAGCACACUUCUGUAUGGAAUGUACUGGGGCAGCAUACCUGCCUUCUUUCUCAGAUCAAUGUUGACACACUUAAAUUUGUGAAUAAGGCCUUCCAGGAUAUCUUGUUUAGGAAGAACCAGUUCACUUGCUAGUAUCUAGGCUUUCUAGGUAUCACGAGGGCUUUCUGUCAAAGCAUAAACAAGCAGUGAGAAAUCAUCAGUGUUCUCUCUCUGAAGAGAGAGACACCAGGAAAGGAGAGAGGGUAGCAAGUUAGCAGGCAUGGAAAGCUGCUGCUUUGCAGAUGUGUUCAUCAGGCAUAAUCCUUAGCUGGAUGUUAGACAGUACCAGAAGUUGCAUGGUGACUUGUCUGAUGGUUGCAAAGAUAUUGGUCCUCAUGUGGGAUUAUUCAAGAUAUUCAGAAGGGAAGAAGCUGAAUCUGGUUACAAAAGGUGUUCCUUAAAUACGUAAUGAAUGAAUGAAUAAACAGUUCAAUGGAAAUUGGGGCAAAUUAAGGAUUCAGUAGAUGUGAGGUGUAUUUGUCUCAUGUCCUCAUCUGAUGAACAUCUACCAUAUUCAGUUGUCUAGUGAGGACUCUUUUAGUGUAGAAACCAAGGAGGCACAUUUGGGGUUCAUUUAGAGAUGGGGUAUUUGGGGCUGGGGGGAAGCCAGCAUAUGAAUGAUGGGCUUCACCAGGAGACAAAGGGCAUCUGUCUAAGGGAUGGAUGCUGAGGGUGGACCUGGCAGGCUGAGCAGGUGAAACUCUUCCAUUGGAGCAGACUGUGGGUUUAUUUGAGCUUAAGAAAAGGAGGUCAUUCCCAAGAAUGAAUAGCAGUGGAUUUGUAGACUUUGAAAUUAACAGAUCAAAGACACCAGAUCUCUGUAGAGAACUUAAUAUGAUCUCUAGAUUCUGAAGCUCCAAUUCUCAGCCCUGGCUGCACCCUAGAAUCACCUGGGAGCUUUUCAACCCUACCACUGCCAGGGUUUCUCCCCCAGAGCUUUGGAUUCAGGCAGUUCAGAGUGAGGCCCUGGAAUCAGUAUUUUCAAAAAGACCUCCAAGUGGCUCUGAGAAUAUCACUGCAGUUGAGACUGUCCACUCUAGACAUAACUCAAAGCAGGCAAAUUUUCAGGAUUCCAUGGCUAGACUAUGACAUUUCCAACAACCUCAAGAGAGACAUUUUAGGAUUAUUCAUUCAUACUGUGUGCAUCCUUGGUUUCUCACUAGCCCCUGUUCUUAAGGCCUGGCAGAUUCCCAGGUGACUUCUAUCCAUGAGAGUGUCCCAAGAAGGGCCACUGGGAAACACACUUAUAGAGAGUUUGGAUUAUGAUCCCAAAAGACACAUUCCUGAAUGCCAUCAUCCCCGAGGUUGAAAUCCUGAAAGAUCAAAAUUUCUAAAGACUAAAUCCUUAACAUCUAAAAUCCUGAAAAUCACAAUCAUAGGAUAGUUGCAUCAUGUUAGGUGAAACUGUUACCUUGUUGUGGUCUUUAUUUGGAAAUUAAGUAUGGUUUAAGGAGAUGCAUAUAGUGCCAAGUUGACAGGGAUGGAUUUAUUGACUUAAUUUGAGAUGUCAACUUGACUGAUUAAGGAAUGCCUGAAACCCUGGUAAAGCAUUAUUUUGGGUGUGUGUGAGGGUGUUUCCAGAGGACUGAGUAGACUCGGUGAGGAAGAUCUGCCCUUGAUAUUGGUGGACACCAUUCAAUUGGCCAACAAUCUGGAGAUAACAAAUAUAGAAGGCCAACUGGUCUCUCUCUGAGAGCUGGGACAGACUUUUCUUCUGCUGCCUUGGACAUCAGAACUCCAGGCUCACCAGCCUUUGCACUCCAGUACUUAACAGCAGCGGCCAUCUGGGUCCUGAGGCUUUUGGCCUCAGAGAGUAACACCAUUGUCUGCUGUGGUUCUCAAUAUAAAAACAUUGAAACUUCCUCAAUAAAUGAACAGAUUUCCUUUUUGUGUAUCUGCAUUUGUGAAAGACCAAAAUUUCUUGAGAUCUUGCCUUUUUGGGCCACUGCAUAUGCAGUGGUGACCUAUAGAGGUUUUUGAUUGAUCUUGUCAAAAGACAGGUUGUCCAUCACAGUAUUUCGGAUGACUGGAGUUAUAAAGCUAGGUACACACAACUACCAACCAUCAUGAUACAUGUUUAUACACUUUGUUUUUGGCAUAUUGCCUUAUGAAUACAGUUCAUCUGCUUGUAAUUGUUGUAAUCAUGUGACUGUUGUUAGAAUAGCUGAGUGCUUAUGUUUGCAAAGAUAUAUAUGUUAUUAUUGCCAAUUUUAUUGUGUAAAUUGGCCUCUGAAGUGCUCUGUCAGUUUUUAUAUGGUUCUCAAAUAAAUCUCCCUUAAAAAUGUAAA